rnacentral:piRNA from 1 species
GCGCUGAAAGGAGAAGGACCCCGAUG